AUGGUGUUUCUUCAGCCUUUUUAACCUUUUUUAUUAAUUAUUGAAUUGAAGUUAUAUAAAAAAUGAACUGACAAAGCGUCUGUUCACGGAGGUUGUUGUAGUUUUCGUAGUUGCAAGAAUUUCUUUCUCACGAUUGGGUUGGUGUUCAGUGUACCGCUUGUGACGCCUAUGCUUUGCAUGAACAUCUCAAUGUCCAAGAUAAAAAGAACGAGGGGAAGAAUCGACAAGG
rnacentral:lncRNA from 1 species